CCCAACUAUCCCUAUUAAUCAUUACGUCGAUCCUAGAAACCAACAAAAUAAGAUCAAACGUCCUAUUUCAUUAUUCCAUGCUAAUGUAUUCAAGCGUGUGCCUGCUUUAAACACUCUAAUUUUUUCAAAGUAACAGUCCUGAUUCCCCAUAACACCAAAUUAAUGACAUCAUAGUUCGUCAGAAGGGAGAAAUCAAUAAUACCAGUACAUACCGAAGUACGACCGAUAUAUUGAUCCCGAAAUUCAACUACGAGCUUUUUAACUGCAACAACUUUAAUAUACGCUAUUGGAGCUGGAAUUACCGCGGCUGCUGGCACCAGACUUGCCCUCCAA
rnacentral:misc_RNA from 2 species